rnacentral:lncRNA from 1 species
AAGACUUAGAGCAUUUUGUCUUUGGUUCAACAAAGACAUUCUGUCUUUGAUAUCAAAAUAUCAAAUCCAUUUUGUCUUUGGUUCAAGAGACAGCGUUAGAAGUAGAAUCAAAUUCGUCCAAAAUUUCAAAGAAGUCCAAAGCCAAUUUCGUUUAUAAAUUUCAAAGAAGCAAAGAUGAAAUUUCGUUCAAGGAUUCAGAAAGAAGAAGCUUAAUCCGAUUUUUGGGGUUCCAAGUUCAAUCCAUGAAGGAUUUCAAAGGAAUAUUAUAUGAAGUUUUCCCUACUCCAGGUAUAUUAAGGCUAUCCCUUAUUUAUUUUGGCAUGGUCCAAAUUAUACUGAAGAAAUGAGCAAACGCACAGUUUCCAUAAAUUACUCUAUUCAUACAAAUACUAGGGGUGUCUACAUUCUUGAUUCCCCAUCUGAAUUAUUAUUAUCUUCUGUUCAUGGAUCUCAGAAUAAUAUGCAGUUGAAAAAGUUUAUUCGGAAGGAAUAUUGAGAUUUUUAUGUAUUUUUCAUGCAUUUCGCCCAUUUAUACAUGUGUAUUGACCCAUGACAAGAUGGAGUUAUAUACACAUAUAUAUGUAAAUAUAUGCAUAUAGGAUAUGGGAAAAGGUUACAACGUUAUAUACGCACCACCACCUGGCCAGCUGGUAUAUGUUGAUGAUAUUGCCCACAGUGGCCGAGACGAUAUGAUGGGAUGCCCUCAGUGCUUGAUGAUAUUAUGUACACCCAUACCUAUGAAUGACACGACAUUUACACGCGCGUGCAUGACAUUAUAAAUGUUUCAGAAUUUACAAAGUUUUUCAAAUUUAAGGAUGUGUUUCUUUAUUCCAUGUUUCACCUACGUCUUUUACAUACUAAUUAGCAUGCCUUACAUACUCAGUACAUUUUUCGUACUGACUUCCUAUUUCACGGUGCCUGCGUUUCAUGCCCGCAGGUGCAGGUAGGCAAGCUGACGGUCCCCCUUUUUAGGAUCCCUGAUCAGCGAGAGUUGGCGUGCUCUACUUGAUCCGGAGCUGCUUUUGAGUUUGGUAUGAUACGUUUGUGUGUAUAUAUAUAUAUAUGGGUAUGACGUGGCUCAGUCCCGUAUUUGUAUAGUUAUGUUUCUAUUAAAAGUUUGUAGAGAGUAUAUCUAGUUAGGUUGUAUGUGGCAUUGUCAACUUUUAGCUUUGAAUGUAUAUUUGUCUAUAGCAGCCUUGCCGGCUUGCCCACUGUAUUCUGCAUGUAUACGUAUAUACACCUUGUUGGC